rnacentral:rRNA from 1 species
GACGAACGCUGGCGGCGUGCUUAACACAUGCAAGUCGAACGAGGUGGCGAACGGGUGAGUAUUUCGUGGGUAACCUGCCCUCCUUUUUGGGAUACGCCUUGGAAACGGGGUCUAAUACCGAAUAAAGGGGGAUGGGCUCGCGGCCUUUCAGCUUGUUGGUGGGGUGAUGGCCUACCAAGGCGGUGACGGGUAGCCGGCCUGAGAGGGUGACCGGGGACUGUGGGACGGGGAUACGGCCCAGGCUACUACGGGGGGGAGCAUUGGGGGAUAUGGGACAAUGGGCGAUAGCCUGAUGCAGCGACGCGGCAGGGGGGAUGAAGGCUUUCGGGUUGUAGACGUCUGUGGCUAUCGAGCGGGUAGGGGGAGAAGAAGCGCCGGCUAACUACGUGCCAGCAGCCGCGGUAAUAC